GGGUGGGGUAAGUAACGUAGACGAAAGUUACGCUAAUACCGCAUAAGCCCUGAGGGGAAAGUGGGGGACCGCAAGGCCUCACGCGAAUGGAGCGGCCGAUGUCAGAUUAGCUAGUUGGUGGGGUAAAGGCCCACCAAGGCGACGAUCUGUAGCGGGUCUGAGAGGAUGAUCCGCCACACUGGGGCUGAGACACGGCCCAGACUCCUACGGGAGGCAGCAGUGGGGAAUUUUGGACAAUGGGCGAAAGCCUGAUCCAGCAAUGCCGCGUGAGUGAUGAAGGCCUUAGGGUUGUAAAGCUCUUUUACCAGGGAUGAUAAUGACAGUACCUGGAGAAUAAGCUCCGGCUAACUCCGUG
rnacentral:rRNA from 1 species